ACCUCUUGGCCUGCUCUGGUUUGACAGAGUGAAUUCACACAAAUAAUAAGAGACACAUUUUUCUGCAGGUGCAAAAUAGCUUGUUGAUAGUGCAGUUUGUCUGUCAAAUCAAAUUGUGUCACUAGCAAAUCGGCGUGGCAUCUUUCGCUAAAUUUGAUACUUUACAUUCAUUUCUUGCCUUGUAAAAACCUAAUUAUAAAGCAUAGUAUAAGAUGUAGAAGUUGUAAGGGAAUUUUGAGACACCAGCAAAUUUCAGACUGAUAUCAAUAAAACGCUAUUCCUCGCGUCAAAUAAAACCUUAUCCCCCUAAAUGACCAUACGCUCUAAACGACAGAUGAUGAUUAAUAAACCCGACAGAUUUCCUGCACUUAUAUGCAUCACCGGUAGGGGGCAGCAUUUUCCCGACCGUGUGAACGACCUGACCGGAAAACAAGCAGGCAGAGCGGAGCGGAGGCAGGCAGAGGAAAGAUGGCAGCCGCGGCAGUGGCUGAGUUUCAGAGAGCACAGUCUCUUCUUGGAACAGACCGGAAUGCCUCUAUCGAUAUCUUACAUUCAAUAGUGAAGCGGGACGUCCAGGAGAGUGAUGAGGAGGCGGUGCGUGUUAAAGAGCAGAGCAUCCUGGAGCUGGGUGGGCUGCUGGCCAAGACAGGACAGGCUGCAGAGCUUGGGGGUCUGCUGAAGUAUGUACGCCCCUUCCUUAACUCCAUCUCCAAGGCCAAGGCAGCCCGGCUGGUCCGCUCCCUACUGGACCUGUUCCUGGACAUGGAAGCUGCCACGGGUCAGGAGGUAGACCUCUGCCUGGAGUGCAUAGAGUGGGCCAAGGCUGAGAAGAGAACAUUCCUCCGACAGGCGCUAGAGGCUCGUCUCAUCUCACUGUAUUUCGACACAAAGUGCUACCAGGAGGCACUACAUCUUGGCUCCCAGUUGCUGCAGGAGCUGAAGAAGAUGGACGACAAGGCCCUACUGGUGGAGGUUCAGCUGCUGGAGAGUAAGACAUACCAUGCACUCAGUAAUCUGCCUAAAGCCCGCGCCGCCCUUACAUCUGCCAGGACAACCGCCAACGCCAUCUACUGCCCACCCAAACUACAAGCAGCUUUAGACAUGCAGUCAGGGAUCAUUCACGCAGCAGAGGAGAAAGACUGGAAGACAGCUUACUCCUACUUCUACGAGGCCUUUGAGGGCUACGACUCCAUUGAUAGCCCCCGAGCCAUCACAGCCCUCAAAUACAUGCUGCUCUGCAAAAUCACGCUCAACGCUCCAGAGGAUGUCCAGGCCCUCAUCAGUGGCAAGCUAGCUCUGCGGUAUGCUGGCAGACAGACAGACUCACUGAAAUGUGUGGCACAAGCCAGCAAGAACCGGUCUCUGGCAGACUUUGAAAAGGCACUAACAGAGUACAAAGCAGAGCUGAGGGAUGACCCCAUCAUCAGCACCCAUCUCACCACUCUGUAUGACAACCUGCUGGAGCAGAACCUCAUCAGGGUCAUCGAACCUUUCUCCAGGGUCCAGAUAGCACACAUUUCCUCCCUCAUCAAACUCUCUAAGACAGAUUGUGUCUGCCUUGCAGGGAGACGUGGAGAGGAAAUUAUCACAGAUGAUCCUGGACAAGAAGUUUCACGGUAUUUUGGACCAAGGGGAAGGUGUGCUGAUUGUCUUUGAAGAGCCGGUAGUGGACAAGACAUACGAGGCGGCCCUGGAGACCAUUCAGAACAUGAGCAAAGUGGUCGACUCGCUCUACAACAAAGCCAAGAAGCUAACAUAAGAGAGAGCGAAACUAUCGGUCCUCCUGUCCGGAGUGAUGCGGGCCAGUCAGAGCUGCGCUGAUCGUUCACUUCAACCGGGAAGGGACGAGGGGAGGAGGACGAGGAGAUUACAAACACUAAACAACCCAGCAAGCAAAACAAACCAGCCGACCACCUGAAGACGACCCAACCGAACAACUAACUGACGCGGUUUACACGCCGCUCCUCCUGGUCCUCCCUCUGCUCUCCCUCCCUUCUGUCUCUUCCUUCCUAUCUGACUGGGGUUGAUCUGACGCAACGUGCUACUCCAUAUGGACAAAUUCAGGCACUGUGCCCCCUCUUUUCUUCUCCCACCACUGGUUUCUACUGUACGUAUAAUUGGACAAGCCUCCUUUCCCCCUUUUAUGUCCCGUUUCUCUCUGCGCUGGCCAUCAGGGAAUCUUGUAAAAUAACAAUAAAGAAUACAUAUACAGUACUUAUUCAUACAUGUAUUAUAUAGAAAAGAAAUCGGUCCCAGCGUGUAAAUGUGGGUUGGUUGGUCGGUCUGUCUCACACUGGAUUCUACCUGUCCUGUUCAGUGUGCCAACCAGCCCUGAAACUGAAUGUUUGCAUUUCUCCAAUGUUCUGCGGUUUUGAAAAGUGCUGCCCCACAGUUAACUAGGUCACCUGAAGAAUGAGGCAGUCAGAACAACCCCUCCUGUCUUCUCACACCCUUCCUAUGACCAUUGCCGCCUCACCUGUUUCACCCCGAGUGGUCUCACUCGUUCACAAGGCAUUCUGGGAUUCGUGGACCAUACAGGGAAUUUGCUCUUCUGUCCACUGGGGACCAUGCCACAUGGAGAGGAGGACAUUCAUCACCACACUGGAGUCACCUAUACGCCCCCUUCCUUCUACCUACUCAGCACUCCUACUUCCAUGUUUGUAUAUAACAUUGCCAAGCGCCUCUGUUCAUCAUCCAAGGCCUGAUGUAAUCCCACUGUCCCCUUUUUUUAUAAUGCGUAAGAACAGAACAAACCUCGCCACCGAGAGCUCGGUCAGUCACACAAAGUGCUUUUGACGCUCGACACGUGACUGGAGAGAGAACUCUGCGUUCUGAGAUGUGAUGGUUUGUUGGGCAGAAAAGGGCGGGUUUGGAUGAAGAAAAUCAAGCUGUACAUUUCCGGGAACUUAAUUUUGCAAGGACUCUUGAGGGUUUACCAUAUGACAUAGAGAAAGACAAAUGCUAAUAAAAAAAAUUUAAACCUG